GGAGUGUUGUUCAAUGGUAGAGUGCAUGCUCAGCAAGCAUGAAGCCCUGGGUUCAGUCCCCAGGACCA
rnacentral:tRNA from 1 species